UAUAUAUAUAUAUAUAUAUAUAAACUAAAAACUCAAUAACAAUAAUAUGUUAAUAAAUAUAUCAAUUUAAAAAUUAAAAAAUCAAUAGAUAGUCAUAAACUCAUAAUAUAUUCAUAAAUUAAAGACUAAUUGUCUAAACUCUAAAAUAAUAAUGAAAUUUUUGGCUCUAGAAAAACAGCAAAUAAAGAAGAAGACAAAACAGAGCAAAAAAAAACCUCAGUUUCUGUCAACAAAAAAACAGAAGAAAAAAAUAGAAAGAAGAAGAGAAAAAGAGAAGUAAAAAGAAGCAGAGAAACAGAACCUAUUUGGCACUGUUCUGUCGACAAAAACCAGAAGAAAAAAGAUAGAAAGAAGAAGAGAAGAAGAGAAGAAGAGAAGA
rnacentral:lncRNA from 1 species